CCUACGGGAGGCAGCAGUGAGGAAUAUUGGUCAAUGGGCUUACGCCUGAACCAGCCAAGUCGCGUGAGGGAAGACUGCUCUAUGGGUUGAAAACCUCUUUUGUCAGGGAGCAAUUGGCGCUACGUGUAGCGAUAUCGAGAGUACAUGAAGAAAAAGCAUCGGGUAAGUCCGUGUCAGCAGCCGCGGUAAUACGAGGGAAGCGAGGGUUCUCCGGAUUUAUGGGGGUUAACGGGUGCGUAGGCGGAGUGCAAAGUCAGCGGUAACAUCGCGGGCCUCAACCUCGGUCCGCCGUUGAAACUGGGCUUCUUGAGGGGGCGAGAGGUAGGCGGAAUGCGUGGUGUAG
rnacentral:rRNA from 1 species